GCGAAUAUAGUUUAACGGUAAAACUCCAGCUUCCCAAGCUGGCGUUACGGGUUCGAUUCCCGCUAUUCGCUCCA
rnacentral:tRNA from 1 species